GACGAACGCUGGCGGCGUGCUUAACACAUGCAAGUCGAACGCAGUGGCGAACGGGUGAGUAACGCGUAAUCACCCUGCCCUUCAGCGGGGGACAACAGUUGGAAACGACUGCUAAUACCGCAUACUGAAGGAGGGGCUUGCGUCUGAUUAGCUAGUUGGAGGGGUAACGGCCCACCAAGGCGAUGAUCAGUAGCCGGUCUGAGAGGAUGAACGGCAACAUUGGGACGGAGACACGGCCCAGACUCCUACGGGAGGCAGCAGUGGGGAAUCGUCCGGAAUGGACGAAAGUCUGACGGAGCAAAGCCGCGGGAGUGAUGACGGCCUUCGGGGUGGAAAGCUCUGUUAAUCGGGACGCGGUACCGGAAUAGAAAGCCACGGCUAACUACGUGCCAGCAGCCGCGGUAAUAC
rnacentral:rRNA from 1 species